rnacentral:tRNA from 1 species
GAGAUAAUAGUAUAAAUAAGUAUAUUUCUUUUUCGCAGAAAUGGUUUUUUAUCUUA